rnacentral:misc_RNA from 1 species
CACAACAACAACGCGCACACACACGCGCACGCAUGCACAAGGACGCGCUUUUUUUGGGGGGGGGGCGACAGUGGUUGCCGUCACGGAUUGCAGCAGCAGCAAGACUUGCGCAUCGAGACUCCCUAGUUUUCUAGCGACUCCCCCCUGAAAGCUGCUUGUGCUCCUUCCCUCUCUCUAAUUACGAGCGUGCGAAGUGGCUGUGCGGCUCUGAGCGGAUUUACGGGACCGCGGAGUUUGGAUAGGGGGUUAGGGUAGGUGGAACCGCUGCAGCAGGCGAGGCCUUGCAUCUCUCUGUUCUCCUUAUCCGCUUUUUUCUUUCCUCUCACGCAUGGCGGGUGUGCGGUGACGUCGUUGAUGGUGUCUUUGGCCGCUGACGAGUUGAAGAUACACUCACACGCAUACGCGAGUGCGAGAGAGAAGCAGGGGAAGCAGAGAGGACGACAGUGCUGUUUCUGUUUGUGCCAUGGCGGCUUUUCUCCCUUCCUUUCCCCAUCCCCUAAGUCACACACACACACACACACACACAUGCGUGCGAAUCCAAUGAAUGCUCGCUCUCACUGUUACCGCUUCCUCAAUGCUCUUCUUCCUUACCUCUCCGUUGCUCCCUUCCCCUUCGCUCAUAAAUCCACGUUACGGCUUUACCAAUCACACGGCACCACAAACCUAUCAAAACUUCCAG